rnacentral:rRNA from 1 species
CAGUCGCCGCGGGAAUACGAAGGGUGCAAGCGUUAAUCGGAAUUACUGGGCGUAAAGCGUGCGUAGGCGGUUUGUUAAGUCUGCUGUGAAAUCCCCGGGCUCAACCUGGGAAUGGCAGUGGAUACUGGCAAGCUAGAGUGUGUCAGAGGAUGGUGGAAUUCCCGGUGUAGCGGUGAAAUGCGUAGAGAUCGGGAGGAACAUCAGUGGCGAAGGCGGCCAUCUGGGACAACACUGACGCUGAGGCACGAAAGCGUGGGGAGCAAACAGGAUUAGAGACCCCUGUAGUCCCUGUCUCUUAUAA